AAUUAUUGGGCGUAAAGAGCUCGUAGGCGGUUUGUCGCGUCUGUCGUGAAAGUCCGGGGCUUAACCCCGGAUCUGCGGUGGGUACGGGCAGACUAGAGUGCAGUAGGGGAGACUGGAAUUCCUGGUGUAGCGGUGGAAUGCGCAGAUAUCAGGAGGAACACCGAUGGCGAAGGCAGGUCUCUGGGCUGUAACUGACGCUGAGGAGCGAAAGCAUGGGGAGCGAACAGGAUUAGAUACCCUGGUAGUCCAUGCCGUAAACGUUGGGCACUAGGUGUGGGGACCAUUCCACGGUUUCCGCGCCGCAGCUAACGCAUUAAGUGCCCCGCCUGGGGAGUACGGCCGCAAGGCUAAAACUCAAAGGAAUUGACGGGGGCCCGCACAAGCGGCGGAGCAUGCGGAUUAAUUCGAUGCAACGCGAAGAACCUUACCAAGGCUUGACAUGUUCUCGAUCGCCGUAGAGAUACGGUUUCCCCUUUGGGGCGGGUUCACAGGUGGUGCAUGGUUGUCGUCAGCUCGUGUCGUGAGAUGUUGGGUUAAGUCCCGCAACGAGCGCAACCCUCGUUCCAUGUUGCCAGCACGUAAUGGUGGGGACUCAUGGAAGACUGCCGGGGUCAACUCGGAGGAAGGUGAGGACGACGUCAAAUCAUCAUGCCCCUUAUGUCUUGGGCUUCACGCAUGCUACAAUGGCCGGUACAAUGGGUUGCGAUACUGUGAGGUGGAGCUAAUCCCAAAAAGCCGGUCUCAGUUCGGAUUGGGGUCUGCAACUCGACCCCAUGAAGUC
rnacentral:rRNA from 1 species